AACCUCAGAUCUGUGCCGAGGCCUUCUGCCUGUGCUGGGGGUUGGGGCGGGGGCGGUUCUCUCCUGGGAAGUAAUGGAGAGGGGUCAGAGGUGUUGAACUGAAAUUUUAGAUUGUUUAGAACAAAAGAAGGGCAAAGGAGAACUUGUACUCCUAAUUUUUUGUUUUUUUUGUUUUACUGUGGUAGAACUCAGGAUACAUUUUUAGACUGGUCUGUGGUAGGGUCUUUCCAAGAAAAGUGAAGAACGAAACCAUGGCUGACAGGAAGAACGUUUAAUGAGACAGUGGUUUUCAUCCUUUUUACUCGGUCAAAAUAAUUCAUCAUAUAAUAAAAGAGAAUAAUCAUAUAAUUAUCUCAAAUGCAAUAAGAACAAGCAUCUGACAAAAUUCAACAGGCUUUCUUCAAAUAACACUAGGAAUACUGAGAAUAGAAAGGAACAGUCUUGAUCUGAUAAAGAAUGUCUAUAAGAAACCUGUAGGUAGUUUCAUCAUUAAUACCGAAACACUUUGCUUUUUUUUUUUUUCUAAGAUGGGGAACAAGAUAAGGAUGUUAUCUUUCAUCUGGGACAAUCCUGUUGUAAUAAGCAAAGAAAUAAAAAUAGAAGACAAACAGAUUGGAAAUGAAGAGAUAAAACUACUGUUUUUGACAGAGGGUCGAUUUCAUGAUCACCCUUUGAAAUUCACAAAAGAGUUAUUGGAAAUAAUAGGUGAGUUCAGCAAAACCAUGGAAUAAAACGCCAAUAUACAAACUCAAGUGUAAUUCUAUAUACUAGUAAUGGAAAUUUGAAAAAUGAAACUUGUUAAUAAUACCACGUAUAAUACCAUAAAAAUUAAAUACCAGGGUAUAAGUCCCUUGAAACAUGUACAAAUUGUCUACAAUGGAAUCUACAAAAUACUGCCAAGAAAAAUGAAAGACCUAAAAAUUGGAAGAUUGGAAAGACCUAAAAAUUGUUAAGAUAUCUAUUCUGCACAAACUGUGGAGUUUAUAUAGUCUAUACAUUUUUGACUCUAUACAUUAUAGAGUCUAUAUAUUUCAGGCAAUCCAAAUCCUAGGAGGAAUUUUCAAAGAAAUCGAGAAACUGUUUCUAAAAUUUAUGUGAAAAUGCAAAUGAUCUAGAAUAGUUAGAACAAUCUUGGGGAAAAAAGAACAAAGACUUACACUGAUUUGAAGGUUUACAAUAAGGCAAUACUAAUCUUAACUGUGAUAUUUGCAUGAACAUAUAAACAGAAAAUAAUAGAGAGUAGAGUAAUAGACCCACACAUUUACAGCCUAUUGAUUUUUGACCAAGGCACCAUGUCAGUUCAAUGGAGAAAGAAAAUUUUUUCACAAGUGUUGCUGAAAAAAUUGGGCAUCUCUGUGGGGGAAAAAAUGAAGCUUAACCCUCCCCUCAGCCUAUAUACAAAUAUUAAUUCACAGUGGACAAUGUGAUCAUAGUGAACAUAAAAGCUGGAACCAUAAAUACUUCAUGAAGAUCCAUAGGAGAAUAUCUCCAUGAUGUUGAGAUAAAAACAAACAAACAAACAAACAAAAACAAACACAAACAAAAACUUAGGACACAUAAAACACUAACCUUAUAAGAAAAAUUGAUCAGUUGGGUGUUAUCAAAAUUAAAAAUGUCUGCUAAUCAAUGAUUUCAUUUUAAAAAAAGGAAGAGAUAAGGAGUGAGACAGAGAGAGCUGAUGAAAUUGGGAGGAUGGCCAAGGAAGCAGUUGGGUGUUAAAGAGGAACCAACAGGAGAAGGAUGCCGGCCAUGAUCUGAGAGCCUUUCCCAAAGCAAGCGGAGCAGGGUAUGCUUGCUGGUUUUCCUAGAUGAGAAGUGAAGAAACUCACCAAUAACAUUCAGUGCUGCCAGUAGUAUUGCAUUUAACAUGAAAAAAAUCGUUGAACGCCUGGUGUGUGCCAGGAAUUGAUUCCAUACCCCUUCCUCAUCCUUAGCCCUUCUGUGUCCUUGCCUCCACCCACUUUGCUCACAGUUUGGAGGAAGCUCCACUCACACUCCCCUCUCACCUUCCAUGGGAACUAAAAAGGUGAACAAUUCUGGUUUCACCAAUCAGACAUUAUAAGGUGGGGCUUCUUUUUACUAUAGAUUGGAAUUUCUUUUUAACUUCUUUCUUCCAAACCUUCCUCCUUUUACCAAAUUCUCUUCAUCUCUCUGUAAGUCACCUUGUUGGUAAAACUAUAUUUUGCUCGACCCAGCUACAAUCCCAGCAUUUAAUCAUUCAAGAGUGCUCUCCAUUACUACUCCUUGUACUUGAGACUUCCUCUGCCCAGAACUGAAAGCGUGAGGGCUGCCCUCCUGCUUGGGACAGGCAUUCAGGCAUCCCUUACUGAGCCCUUGGUUCUGGACUCAAGAAUUCUGCAUCUGAAGAGGGAUGAGGGAUGCAGAGUGUCUCAGAAGAUGAUAAGGGUAGACACAGAUGAUUAAAACACAAGGUAUUCUACUGUUCUACAGAAAGGUUGACAAAUGACAUGGAAAUACAGAAGAAGAAGGCGUUCCAGACUUCUCUCGACUGCUAUGCUGCACACAGAAAUGGUUUCUUUGGACCUCAUUAGAUGGAGGCUCUGGUGGUGCCCAUGGUAGUAAGGAGGGCGGGAUGGGGAAUGCUAUUUGAACUCAGUGUUGAGAGAUGAGAAGGAGGAACAACAUGGACAAAAGCAGGAAAGAAUGUGGAAAUGCUGCCAAUCGGUGUAACAAUUGUGAGGUGGUCGGUGUGGAAGGGACUCCAAGGCAGCUGGGGUUAAUAGCUUCAGAUGGGCCAGAAUGUAGGUGAAGACUAGUUCAUGAAGGGACUUGUUUUAUGGACCAAGAACUUGAGUUAUAUCUAAUUUCUAGUGGGAAACUAGUGAAGGCAGAGAUGGGCAGAGUCAUAAAGCCUUGGUUCUCAUCCUUCUAUCACUCAUUAUCCAUAACCUUGGGCACAUCAUUGAUCCUACCUGAGCCCAAGUAUCCACAAGCAUAAAUUGGAAACCAUAUCUACCUCCUGGAGAGAAGUAAGAAUGAAAUAAGAUAGUCUGAACUGCAGUACAAAUGUAAGUGCUGGGUAUUCCUAAUAUUAACAAGUGCCCGGUGGAUGUUUCUACAUGUAACAUUUCAUUUAAUCCCCAAGAUCCAUCGUGUUAACUGCAUGACCCAUACUUGGAGAAUCCAGACCAAGCGUCAUAUGGAAGGAUUCUCCAGGUAACAUUUACAGCAGUCUUCAAGUUUUCUUACCAAUUUCCACUUCUUUUAUUUCAUUUUGUGGAGGGGCUAUAAUUACUGGAAACAAAGAAAAGCCUUCUUCAUCUUAAAUCAAAGACAAAGAAAAUAUAAAUAUUAGGAUAGCAUUGGAUGGUCAUCAGUAUAAAGCUUGUGUUUUCAUAUUACUAUCUUAUAUCAUAGCAAUGUUUUUCAAAUUUUUCUGACGAUGACCCAUGGCAACAAAUACACACACACACAGACACACAGAGACACACAGACACACACACACACACACACACACACAUGAAAAAGAAAACAUUCAAGUAAUACUUUCUCUUAUGACUUAUGAUACUCUUUUAUAUUUCCUAUUCUCUUUUAUAUCAUUAAAACAAAUAGUAAUUAAUUAAUCUAACACGUUAAAUUAAUUACAUGGGUUGGCAAUUGCUAGAAAACUACAAUUCUACAGAAGAAGCACAACAUUACAGGAAAGAAGCUUUCAAAAGUUGCAUGAAAUGCUAGCAUAUAUAAGGUAUUGAAUAAAUGCUUGUUGAAUGAAAAAAAAAAGGCCUAUGAAAAAGAUAAGCAUGUAAGUCCACACUUCUGCUCAGAGAUUUCCACCACUGUGGUCCAUUCUGUAAGGAAAUUCUAACUUCUGUGGCACUGAUGCCUCGAGUCGGGGAAGGGGAGUCUUUUGAAAUACUGCUACUUUCUGACGUUCCUUGAUUCUCAUUUAUUUCAGGAUCGUGUGAUUAAGGGCCCCCAUGAUCUGGUGUGUAAUAGUGAGAGACACUAAUAAUGUGGUCUGAUGGUGCUUAUUUUAUAUGAUAGAGCAUCACAAACCUCCAAACCUUGUCUUCACGAUUGCUUUCCACUAAGAAAGCUUCCACACUGACUGGUGCUACUUCAUCCUAUAUCUGUGGAUCAAGUGAUGCUAAAGAGACCGUGACUCCUUAUAGAUUUGACAUCCUUGACCGUGAGGGAUUUCCUCUGAAUAGACUUUUAUAGACUUAAACAUUUGAAAACCAGCUUUUAGGAUCAAAUUAGCUGCUUGAGGUCAUUGAUAAUGUUGGACAAAUUGCAAACCAGGAUUAUGUGAAAUGGAAUGGCAUCACUUAUGUCAAGGGGUUUUGAAAUGGAGCCAGGAGGCCAUUAAGGAGAUGGGCCCAUGUCCUCACUGGUGGAAUCAUGAACGUGUAACCUGACUAAACCACAAAUAUUCCAAGAUGAAGCCCAAACAUCUGCAAGUUGGUACAAUAAAAGACUUUGCUUGUGUGAUAGCCUUAGGAACCAAUGAUAUUCAGUGAAGAUCAGCCUUCUGCUGCCAACAUGCAUCAAAAUUCUUUGUAAACAAUGUAUAACAGGCAUUCCCUCUUUGCUUUAAAAACCCCAGACUUUAUGGGGCACCUGAGUGGCUCAGUGGGGUAAGCUUUGGGUCAUGAUCUCACGGUUCGUGAG